UACAUGGGGUGCAAACGUUGCUCGGAAUUAUUGGGCGUAAAGCGCGCGUAGGCGGUUACUCAAGUCGGAUGUGAAAGCCCUCGGCUUAACUGAGGAAGUGCACCCGAAACUGAGUAGCUAGAGUACUAAAGAGGGUCGCGGAAUUCCCGGUGUAGAGGUGAAAUUCGUAGAUAUCGGGAGGAACACCGGAGGCGAAGGCGGCGACCUGGGUAGAUACUGACGCUGAGGCGCGAAAGCGUGGGGAGCAAACAGG
rnacentral:rRNA from 1 species